UACGUAGGGCGCAAGCGUUAUCCGGAAUUAUUGGGCGUAAAGAGCUCGUAGGCGGUUUGUCGCGUCUGCCGUGAAAGUCCGGGGCUCAACUCCGGAUCUGCGGUGGGUACGGGCAGACUAGAGUGAUGUAGGGGAGACUGGAAUUCCUGGUGUAGCGGUGAAAUGCGCAGAUAUCAGGAGGAACACCCGUGGCGAAGGCGGUUCUCUGGGACGGUACUGACGCUGAGACGCGAAAGCGUGGGGAGCGAACAGG
rnacentral:rRNA from 1 species